rnacentral:rRNA from 1 species
GACGAACGCUGGCGGCGCGCCUAACACAUGCAAGUCGAACGGAGCUGAGAGAAGCUUGCUUUUCUUAGCUUAGUGGCGAACGGGUGAGUAACGCGUGAGUAACCUGCCCUGGAGUGGGGGACAACAGUUGGAAACGACUGCUAAUACCGCAUAAGCCCACGAUCCGGCAUCGGAUUGAGGGAAAAGGAUUUAUUCGCUUCAGGAUGGACUCGCGUCCAAUUAGCUAGUUGGUGAGGUAACGGCCCACCAAGGCGACGAUUGGUAGCCGGACUGAGAGGUUGAACGGCCACAUUGGGACUGAGACACGGCCCAGACUCCUACGGGAGGCAGCAGUGGGGGAUAGUGCACAAUGGGGGAAACCCUGAUGCAGCGACGCCGCGUGGAGGAAGAAGGUUUUCGGAUUGUAAACUCCUGUCGUGAGGGACGAUAAUGACGGUACCUAACAAGAAAGCACCGGCUAACUACGUG